GAUGAAGAACGUAGCAAAAUGCGAUAAGUAAUGUGAAUUGCAGAAUUCAGUGAAUCAUCGAAUCUUUGAACGCACAUUGCGCCCGCUGGUAUUCCGGCGGGCAUGCCUGUUCGAGCGUCAUUUCAACCCUCAAGCCCCCGGGUUUGGUGUUGGGGAUCGGCUCUGCCUUCUGGCGGUGCCGCCCCCGAAAUACAUUGGCGGUCUCGCUGCAGCCUCCCCUGCGUAGUAGCAACACUCGCAUGCGGAGCGCGGCGCGGCCACGCCGUAAAACCCCCGACUUUCUGAACGUUGACCUCGGAUCAGGUAGGAAUACCCGCUGAACUUAAGCAUAUCAAUAAGCGGAGGA
rnacentral:misc_RNA from 1 species